GCAAACCUGCCUGGCUGUCCCCUUCCGGGACACGGACAGGGGGUUUCCUGGCAGUUCCUGGUCCUCCCUUGAGGGCUAAGGGUCCCCCCGUUCUGUGGCCGCCUCCAGCACAUCCACCCAGAGUCCCUGGGCGUGAACACAGCCGCUGGGGACGAUCACCGCCUGCCCAGCGUGCAGCCCUGGGGCUGCGUCCUUAUCUCCGCUCCUCCUGCCUCCUGCCCAGCUGUUCAACGUCUACCCAUGGCUCGGGGCCCUGCUCCAGCUGCACCGGCCCGUCCUGCGCAAGAUCGAGGAGGUCCGUGCCAUUCUGAGGACCCUCCUGGAGGCGCGGAGGCCCCACGUGUGCCCGGGGGACCCCGUGUGCAGCUAUGUGGACGCCCUGAUCCAGCAGGGACAGGGGGAUGACCCCGAGGGCCUGUUUGCUGAGGCCAACGCGGUGGCCUGCACCCUGGACAUGGUCAUGGCCGGGACGGAGACGACCUCGGCCACGCUGCAGUGGGCCGCACUUCUGAUGGGCCGGCACCCGGACGUGCAGGGUGAGACCCCGGCGCCUGGCGAGACGGCUC
rnacentral:lncRNA from 1 species